rnacentral:rRNA from 1 species
UGGGGAAUUUUGGACAAUGGGGGAAACCCUGAUCCAGCCAUCCCGCGUGUGCGAUGAAGGCCUUCGGGUUGUAAAGCACUUUUGGCAGGAAAGAAACGUCGCGGGUUAAUACCCCGCGGAACUGACGGUACCUGCAGAAUAAGCACCGGCUAACUACGUGCCAGCAGCCGCGGUAAUACGUAGGGUGCAAGCGUUAAUCGGAAUUACUGGGCGUAAAGCGUGCGCAGGCGGUUCGGAAAGAAAGAUGUGAAAUCCCAGAGCUUAACUUUGGAACUGCAUUUUUAACUACCGGGCUAGAGUGUGUCAGAGGGAGGUGGAAUUCCGCGUGUAGCAGUGAAAUGCGUAGAUAUGCGGAGGAACACCGAUGGCGAAGGCAGCCUCCUGGGAUAACACUGACGCUCAUGCACGAAAGCGUGGGGAGCAAACAGGAUUAGAUACCCUGGUAGUCCACGCCCUAAACGAUGUCAACUAGCUGUUGGGGUCUUCGGACCUUGGUAGCGCAGCUAACGCGUGAAGUUGACCGCCUGGGG